CGUCUAUAUACGUAUAGCAUAUCAAUAAGCGGAGGAAAAGAAACUAACUAGGAUUCCCUCAGUAACGGCGAGUGAAGCGGGAAGAGCUCAAAUUUGAAAUCUUCAAGGUUCUACCUUGACGAAUUGUAGUUUAAAGAAGUGUUUUCUGUUGGAGUUUUGGUAAAAGUUCUUUGGAAUAGGACAUCAUAGAGGGUGAGAAUCCCGUAUUUGACCAUUAUUUCCAACUUUGUGAUACACUUUCAAAGAGUCGGAUUGUUUGGGAAUGCAGUCCAAAAUGGGUGGUAAAUUUCAUCUAAAGCUAAAUACUGGCGAGAGACCGAUAGCGAACAAGUACCGUGAGGGAAGGAUGAAAAGAACUUUGAAAAGAGAGUUAAACAGUACGUGAAAUUGUCAAAAGGGAAGCGUUUGACACCAGUGUUGUUUUCUCGAAAAUCAAUUAAAAAAGGAUUGGAUUUUGUGUUGUAUUGACUUUAUCAGCUUUCUGCACUUUUUUCUUGUCUUUUUUAAUGCACUUUUCGUUUAACAAGUCAACAUCAAUUUCUUUUGUUGUAAAAGAGUCAUUGGAAGGUGGCCUUCUUUUCGGAGAAAGUGUUUAUAGCCUUUGACUUCUGCAAUCGGAGAGAUUGAGGUCUGCAGCGUAGAUCCUUCGGGGUUAGAUAGCAUUUGUGCUAAGCUAUAGCCUUUCAUAGACAACUUGUUGACUAUGAUCAGUCAUGUAGCUUACUCGCUUAUGUCUAUUUUACCUACGCUUAGGAUGUUGACGAUCAGCUGAGCGCG
rnacentral:rRNA from 1 species